rnacentral:rRNA from 1 species
UACGUAGGGGGCGAGCGUUGUCCGGAUUUAUUGGGCGUAAAGAGCGUGUAGGCGGCCAGGUAGGUCUGCUGUGAAAACUCGAGGCUCAACCUCGAGCUGUCGGUGGAAACCGUGUGGCUAGAGUCCGGAAGAGGAGAGUGGAAUUCCCGGUGUAGCGGUGAAAUGCGCAGAUAUCGGGAAGAACACCCGUGGCGAAGGCGGCUCUCUGGGACGGUACUGACGCUGAGACGCGAAAGCGUGGGGAGCGAACAGG